GAAUAGCUACUGACACGAGGUACUUUUUUCAUACAAUUUCCAUUUCGAGAGGAAACGGUUUCCACUAAGUAAAUCUUAACAAAUCACUUUGAUUUUGAUGUCGAUCGCUUCAGCAUAAUAUAUUCUAGGUUCGUUGUGUAAAUUUUUAGGGUUCUGUAGCCAAAUGGCAAAAAACGGAACCCUUAUGGAUUCGUCAUGUCUAUCUGUCCAUCCGUAUGUCAUAGCCACUUUUUUCCGAAACUAUAAGAACUAUACUGUUGAAACUUGGUAAGUAGAUGUAUUCUGUGAACCGCAUUAAGAUUUUCACACAAAAAUAGAAAAAAUUUGGGGGUUCCCCAUACUUAGAACUGAAACUCAAAAAUUAUUUUUCAUCAAACCCAUACGUGUGGGGUAUCUGGAUAGGUCUUCAAAAAUGAAUAGUUUGCGCGAGAGACACUUCCAAAGUGGUAAAAUGUGUGUCCCCCCUCUGUAACUUCUAAAAUAAGAGAAUGAUAAAACUAAAAAAAAUAUAUGAUGUACAUUACCAUGCAAACUUCCACCGAAAAUUGGUUUGAACGAGAUCUAUUAGUAAGUAGUUUUUUU